AACGUAGGACACGAGCGUUAUCCGGACUUACUGGGCGUAAAGCGCGGGCAGGCGGCGGGCCAAGUCGGAUGUGAAAGCUCCCGGCUCAACCGGGAGAGGCCAUUCGAAACUGGCGUGCUGGAGGGCAGGAGAGGAGCGCGGAAUUCCGGGUGGAGUGGUGAAAUGCGUAGAUAUCCGGAGGAACACCAGAGGCGAAAGCGGCGCUCUGGCCUGCAACUGACGAUGAACCGCGAAAGACAGGGUAGCGAACGGG
rnacentral:rRNA from 1 species